rnacentral:rRNA from 1 species
UACGGGGGGGGCAAGCGUUGUUCGGAAUUACUGGGCGUAAAGGGCUCGUAGGCGGCCAACUAAGUCAGACGUGAAAUCCCUCAGCUUAACUGGGGAACUGCGUCUGAUACUGGAUGGCUUGAGUUCGGGAGAGGGAUGCGGAAUUCCAGGUGUAGCGGUGAAAUGCGUAGAUAUCUGGAGGAACACCGGUGGCGAAGGCGGCGUUCUGGACUGCAACUGACACUGAGGAACGAAAGCCAGGGGAGCAAACGGG